UGGAUCCAGACUUUGAUCCUGGCUCAGGAUGAACGCUAGCUACAGGCUUAACACAUGCAAGUCGAGGGGAAACGACAUCGAAAGCUUGCUUUUGAUGGGCGUCGACCGGCGCACGGGUGAGUAACGCGUAUCCAACCUGCCCACCACUUGGGGAUAACCUUGCGAAAGUAAGACUAAUACCCAAUGACGUCUCUAGAAGACAUCUGAAAGAGAUUAAAGAUUUAUCGGUGAUGGAUGGGGAUGCGUCUGAUUAGCUUGUUGGCGGGGUAACGGCCCACCAAGGCAACGAUCAGUAGGGGUUCUGAGAGGAAGGUCCCCCACAUUGGAACUGAGACACGGUCCAAACUCCUACGGGAGGCAGCAGUGAGGAAUAUUGGUCAAUGGACGAGAGUCUGAACCAGCCAAGUAGCGUGCAGGAUGACGGCCCUAUGGGUUGUAAACUGCUUUUAUAAGGGAAUAAAGUGAGUCUCGUGAGACUUUUUGCAUGUACCUUAUGAAUAAGGACCGGCUAAUUCCGUGCCAGCAGCCGCGGUAAUACGGAAGGUCCGGGCGUUAUCCGGAUUUAUUGGGUUUAAAGGGAGCGUAGGCCGGAGAUUAAGCGUGUUGUGAAGUGUAGACGCUCAACGUCUGCACUGCAGCGCGAACUAGUUUCCUUGAGUACGCACAAAGUGGGCGGAAUUCGUGGUGUAGCGGUGAAAUGCUUAGAUAUCACGAAGAACUCCGAUUGCGAAGGCAGCUCACUGGAGCGCAACUGACGCUGAAGCUCGAAAGUGCGGGUAUCGAACAGGAUUAGAUACCCUGGUAGUCCGCACGGUAAACGAUGGAUGCCCGCUGUUGGUCUGAAUAGGUCAGCGGCCAAGCGAAAGCAUUAAGCAUCCCACCUGGGGAGUACGCCGGCAACGGUGCAACUCAAAGGAAUUGACGGA
rnacentral:rRNA from 1 species